GAUUGAACGCUGGCGGCAUGCCUUACACAUGCAAGUCGAACGGCGAGCACAGGACUCGGGCAAACUGAGCCCUGGUGGCGAGUGGCGAACGGGUGAGUAAUGCAUCGGAACGUGCCCAGUAGUGGGGGAUAACUAGUCGAAAGAUUAGCUAAUACCGCAUACGACCUAUGGGUGAAAGGCGGGGGAUUCGCGAAGAACCUCGCGCUAUCGGAGCGGCCGAUGCUGAUUAGCUAGUUGGCGGGGUAAAAGCCCACCAAGGCUUCGAUCAGUAGCUGGUCUGAGAGGACGACCAGCCACACUGGGACUGAGACACGGCCCAGACUCCUACGGGAGGC
rnacentral:rRNA from 1 species